rnacentral:lncRNA from 1 species
ACUUUGAUGCCGACAUGCUUGACCUCAGCGACGAUGAAUCCGAUGAUGAGAACGAGGCAGAGGAAGAAAAGGAUGAGAAAUUGGAGUCACAAAUGGGAGAGGAAGGUGAAAAGAGUGAAGUUGUGGAUGAACAGCUAUGGAAUGGUGAUGAUGACAAGAAUGAGCAGCAGCAACAAGGUAAAGAGAAACAAGAAAAAGGCUCAAGUAUGUCGGGUGCUGAGGAGGAGGAUCUGGAGAUGCGAGCUAAAGAAGAAGGUAAUGAAGAUGGCAAGGGCGACAAAGGGGAUGAAAAGGCGGAGAAGGAAGGGCCAACUGAUCCUUUAGCCAGCGACCAAGAGCAAGCACAGCAAGCAGAACAUGACAUGGAUGACGAUGAGGGUUUGAAAGAAGAUGAGGCUUAUGAAGAUCCUAGUGGUGUUAAACCACGAGUAGAAGAAGAGCUGGAGCUUCCCGAUGACCUGAAUUUGGGUGGGGGUAUGGAAGAAGGCCAGGAGGAGACUGCAGAGGGAGAUGA